rnacentral:rRNA from 1 species
UGCAAGUCGAGCGGAUGAAGGGAGCUUGCUCCCUGAUUCAGCGGCGGACGGGUGAGUAAUGCCUAGGAAUCUGCCUGGUAGUGGGGGACAACGUCUCGAAAGGGACGCUAAUACCGCAUACGUCCUACGGGAGAAAGCAGGGGACCUUCGGGCCUUGCGCUAUCAGAUGAGCCUAGGUCGGAUUAGCUAGUUGGUGAGGUAAUGGCUCACCAAGGCGACGAUCCGUAACUGGUCUGAGAGGAUGAUCAGUCACACUGGAACUGAGACACGGUCCAGACUCCUACGGGAGGCAGCAGUGGGGAAUAUUGGACAAUGGGCGAAAGCCUGAUCCAGCCAUGCCGCGUGUGUGAAGAAGGUCUUCGGAUUGUAAAGCACUUUAAGUUGGGAGGAAGGGCAUUAACCUAAUACGUUGGUGUUUUGACGUUACCGACAGAAUAAGCACCGGCUAACUCUGUGCCAGCAGCCGCGGUAAUACAGAGGGUGCAAGCGUUAAUCGGAAUUACUGGGCGUAAAGCGCGCGUAGGUGGUUUGUUAAGUUGGAUGUGAAAUCC